ensembl:snRNA U6 U6 spliceosomal RNA
GUGCUCACUUCAGCAGCACAUAUACUAAAACUGGAACGAUACAGAGAAGAUUAGCAUGGCCCCUGUGCAAGGAUGACACACAAAUUCGUGAAGCGUUCCAUAUUAAA